UUUGGUUAAGUUAGAAAGGGCGCACGGUGGAUGCCUUGACACUAGGAGUCGAUGAAGGACGGGACUAACGCCGAUAUGCUUCGGGGAGCUGUAAGUAAGCUUUGAUCCGAAGAUUUCCGAAUGGGGAAACCCACCAUACGUAAUGGUAUGGUAUCCUUAUCUGAAUACAUAGGGUAAGGAAGACAGACCCAGGGAACUGAAACAUCUAAGUACCUGGAGGAAGAGAAAGCAAAUGCGAUUUCCUGAGUAGCGGCGAGCGAAACGGAACAUAGCCCAAACCAAGAGGCUUGCCUCUUGGGGUUGUAGGACAUUCUAUACGGAGUUACAAAGGAACGAGGUAGACGAAGCGACCUGGAAAGGUCCGUCGUAGAGGGUAACAACCCCGUAGUCGAAACUUCGUUCUCUCUUGAAUGUAUCCUGAGUACGGCGGAACACGUGAAAUUCCGUCGGAAUCUGGGAGGACCAUCUCCCAAGGCUAAAUACUCCCUAGUGAUCGAUAGUGAACCAGUACCGUGAGGGAAAGGUGAAAAGCACCCCGGAAGGGGAGUGAAAGAGAUCCUGAAACCGUGUGCCUACAAAUAGUCAGAGCCCGUUAACGGGUGAUGGCGUGCCUUUUGUAGAAUGAACCGGCGAGUUACGAUCCCGUGCGAGGUUAAGCUGAAGAGGCGGAGCCGCAGCGAAAGCGAGUCUGAAUAGGGCGUUUAGUACGUGGUCGUAGACCCGAAACCAGGUGAUCUACCCAUGUCCAGGGUGAAGUUCAGGUAACACUGAAUGGAGGCCCGAACCCACGCACGUUGAAAAGUGCGGGGAUGAGGUGUGGGUAGCGGAGAAAUUCCAAUCGAACCUGGAGAUAGCUGGUUCUCCCCGAAAUAGCUUUAGGGCUAGCCUUAAGUGUAAGAGUCUUGGAGGUAGAGCACUGAUUGGACUAGGGGUCCUCAUCGGAUUACCGAAUUCAGUCAAACUCCGAAUGCCAAUGACUUAUCCUUAGGAGUCAGACUGCGAGUGAUAAGAUCCGUAGUCAAAAGGGAAACAGCCCAGACCGCCAGCUAAGGUCCCAAAGUGUGUAUUAAGUGGAAAAGGAUGUGGAGUUGCUUAGACAACUAGGAUGUUGGCUUAGAAGCAGCCACCAUUUAAAGAGUGCGUAAUAGCUCACUAGUCGAGUGACUCUGCGCCGAAAAUGUACCGGGGCUAAAUACACCACCGAAGCUGCGGAUUGAUACCAAUGGUAUCAGUGGUAGGGGAGCGUUCUAAGGACAGUGAAGUCAGACCGGAAGGACUGGUGGAGUGCUUAGAAGUGAGAAUGCCGGUAUGAGUAGCGAAAGACGGGUGAGAAUCCCGUCCACCGAAUGCCUAAGGUUUCCUGAGGAAGGCUCGUCCGCUCAGGGUUAGUCAGGACCUAAGCCGAGGCCGACAGGCGUAGGCGAUGGACAACAGGUUGAUAUUCCUGUACCACCUCUUUAUCGUUUGAGCAAUGGAGGGACGCAGAAGGAUAGAAGAAGCGUGCGAUUGGUUGUGCACGUCCAAGCAGUUAGGCUGAUAAGUAGGCAAAUCCGCUUAUCGUGAAGGCUGAGCUGUGAUGGGGAAGCUCCUUAUGGAGCGAAGUCUUUGAUUCCCCGCUGCCAAGAAAAGCUUCUAGCGAGAUAAAAGGUGCCUGUACCGCAAACCGACACAGGUAGGCGAGGAGAGAAUCCUAAGGUGUGCGAGAGAACUCUGGUUAAGGAACUCGGCAAAAUGACCCCGUAACUUCGGGAGAAGGGGUGCUUUCUUAACGGAAAGCCGCAGUGAAUAGGCCCAAGCGACUGUUUAGCAAAAACACAGCUCUCUGCGAAGCCGUAAGGCGAAGUAUAGGGGGUGACACCUGCCCGGUGCUGGAAGGUUAAGGAGAGGGGUUAGCGUAAGCGAAGCUCUGAACUGAAGCCCCAGUAAACGGCGGCCGUAACUAUAACGGUCCUAAGGUAGCGAAAUUCCUUGUCGGGUAAGUUCCGACCCGCACGAAAGGUGUAACGAUUUGGGUACUGUCUCAACCAGAGACUCGGUGAAAUUAUAGUACCUGUGAAGAUGCAGGUUACCCGCGACAGGACGGAAAGACCCCGUGGAGCUUUACUGUAGCCUGAUAUUGAAUUUUGGUACAGUUUGUACAGGAUAGGCGGGAGCCUUUGAAACCGGAGCGCUAGCUUCGGUGGAGGCGCUGGUGGGAUACCGCCCUGACUGUAUUGAAAUUCUAACCUACGGGUCUUAUCGACCCGGGAGACAGUGUCAGGUGGGCAGUUUGACUGGGGCGGUCGCCUCCUAAAGUGUAACGGAGGCGCCCAAAGGUUCCCUCAGAAUGGUUGGAAAUCAUUCGUAGAGUGCAAAGGCAUAAGGGAGCUUGACUGCGAGACCUACAAGUCGAGCAGGGACGAAAGUCGGGCUUAGUGAUCCGGUGGUUCCGCAUGGAAGGGCCAUCGCUCAACGGAUAAAAGCUACCCCGGGGAUAACAGGCUUAUCUCCCCCAAGAGUCCACAUCGACGGGGAGGUUUGGCACCUCGAUGUCGGCUCAUCGCAUCCUGGGGCUGUAGUCGGUCCCAAGGGUUGGGCUGUUCGCCCAUUAAAGCGGUACGCGAGCUGGGUUCAGAACGUCGUGAGACAGUUCGGUCCCUAUCCGUCGUGGGCGUAGGAAAUUUGAGAGGAGCUGUCCUUAGUACGAGAGGACCGGGAUGGACGCACCGCUGGUGUACCAGUUGUUCUGCCAAGGGCAUAGCUGGGUAGCUAUGUGCGGAAGGGAUAAGUGCUGAAAGCAUCUAAGCAUGAAGCCCCCCUCAAGAUGAGAUUUCCCAUAGCGUAAGCUAGUAAGAUCCCUGAAAGAUGAUCAGGUUGAUAGGUUCGAGGUGGAAGCAUGGUGACAUGUGGAGCUGACGAAUACUAAUAGAUCGAGGACUUAACCAUAUAA
rnacentral:rRNA from 2 species